AUACAGAGGGUGCGAGCGUUAAUCGGAAUUACUGGGCGUAAAGCGCGCGUAGGCGGCUUAUUAAGUCAGAUGUGAAAUCCCCGGGCUCAACCUGGGAACUGCAUCUGAUACUGGUAAGCUAGAGUUUUGGAGAGGGAAGUAGAAUUUCAGGUGUAGCAGUGAAAUGCAUAGAGAUCUGAAGGAAUACCAGUGGCGAAGGCGACUUCCUGGCCAAAAACUGACGCUGAGGUGCGAAAGCGUGGGUAGCAAACGGGAUUAGAAACCCUAGUAGUCC
rnacentral:rRNA from 1 species